CACAAACCGACAGAGAAAUCUGAAUCGUGGUGUAAUCAAGUACGACGACGAAAGUGACAUCGUGAUUGAAACAGCGGAAAAGUUGGACUUUCCGCUUCGUGUCAUGACCUCUGAGACAGACCAAGCAGCCUGUGAACCCGGAUCAACCAGUUAUUGAAAUCAUCCACAUCAGGCCGAGAUGGACUCAAACCCAUCGGCAUUGACAACACAGACUUGCUGUGGAAUUUACAACCGUCUGGAUACGGCUUUUAAAAUAUAGUGGUUUUAAAAUAUGCUAGCCAGUGUUAAUCCAUAACUCACUGCAUUUAGAAAAUUGCUACUAACUGAUAAUAUAAUGCACAUACCGUAUGCAUUGCUGAGUAUUUCAUCCCAUUCUCUUGUUUUCAUGUGAGUGGAUAUUUUACAUACAAAACCCUGUGAAGGUAAUUUACAAGGUAUAAAAGGUAAUGUUUAGUCACUGUAACAUAAAACUGUACGACAAAAAUAUGCCUGCCCGGUGGUUGUUGAAUUUCCACGGAGACAGCAGUCGGUGUUUAUAAAUAGACAGGCGAUAUUUAGUUGUUGGGGUGAAAUACUUUGUGAUAAACGCCAUCUGGGUUCAUGUGAGCUGGACUGCGUUAAAACACAUUGCUACUUGCUAGUAUUAGGUGUGAUUUGAAAGAUGUCGCAAAUUUAGGAUUUGAUAUUAUAUUAGGCAAGUAAAUAUCAUAUAAUGGCCCCCCUACUUUGUCUCUAAACCCUUGGCGUGCAUAGAAAAUCCACAUCUUAGUUUGGCCUUUUUGGCGUGUUCAUAAGGAGACUAAUUAAAUAAAAUGCAUUCGUCCACAACUUUCGUUUUUAUUGCUGAAACUCCCCGCCACGAUUUUUUUUAUACAAAGAAAACUUUAAAAGGGAGUAGAAAAGCGAGUAUUCGGUAUAUUUAUUUAUCAGAUAUUAGCUCCAAAACCCUCACAAAGCGACGCCAGCAAAUAAAAGCAAGGAUGUCGGGACCGUGAGUAAUGCUUUUGAUUUGCGUAGCCCCACCAUCAUGUAAUGAGCACAAAGCCGCCUUUGCUUUUGAAGUUGCCCUACCCCCACACCAAGGAUUGAAAAACAACUUGCUUUUAAGCAUGGAGAAAUUUAAAUUCAAAGAAGAGAUCAAAAAGCAGAAUAGACUCAGAACUGGAUGAGAUAACGCGGCCUCUUUUCACGUUCAGAAAGAGGCUUUGUUCACUAAGGUAAUGUUAAAUGAAAAGUGAUGUUAACUUUACGGUAAAAUGAAGUCAAUUUUAAAAACAUUUUAAUAUUAAUUAAUACAGUAAGCCUGACUAAUCUACGGUUGAUGAAUAAUUUAGAUUUGUUUUUAAUUAGUGAUACUUCAGUUUUGUUUAACCAAUAUUAGAUAAACUACAUUAGGAGUGAAGGAUUUAGAACACCUCAGCACCGCACCUACUUUUAACAUUCCUUGACAAUCUUGGAAGCAGAAUCUGAAAUUUAUACAAAACACCGAGUUACAUUUCAUAAAUGCCACGCAUUGCUGAAUUGUUUUUAGUUUAUUUACUGAGUUAUAAAAAAUAAAUAUAAAAGGUAGGCUACACUCCUCAAGAACAUUAUGGCAUCAUGUGUCUGCCGUCCAAUGAAAUAUCUUGACACAAUACAAUAGGCUGUUUAUUCUUGUGUCGGCCAUCUUGAAUUUAAAGUGAGGUGAAACUUUCCAUGUUGGGCUCAUCAGAGUAAAAGGCACAGCGAUGACAUAAAAAAAUUAAAGUGAGGUGAAACUUUCCAUUUUGGGCUCAUCAGAGUAAAAGGCAUAGCGAUGACAUAAAAAAAUUCAUACAAAUUUGCGCCAGUUUCUGUUUAUGAAUGAUUUGCUAUAAACUCUAUCUAAAUUUUUCAGCCACAUAAGAAAAAUAGACAGCGAGGUUGGGAACGGGCACCAAAUAGUCUGGCUCCACCCUGUUGAACAAAUUACAUUGAAUUUAACGGAUUAAACAAGACAAGAAAUGGCUUCCCUGUGAUUUAUCCCAAAUUGUGACUUAUAAAAAAGAACUUAUAAAAAGAAAAUUGUGACUUAUAAAAAGGAACACAGAGGCGAGAGGGUCAUCUGACCUGGGGCUGUGCCAGAGGUAGUCUUAUUUACUGAGCCGAUACCUAUGUGGCUUGCCCCCAUCUAUUCACUUUCCUUCUCCGUUUUUAGUUUGCCGGCAGCACCAUGAUUUAGGCCGACAAAACUGACUAAUGGGGAUGUGGCACCCAUCCCUUCUGGCGACGGCUUCAAUGCUGUCGCUGAACACAGUGAUGGAUGCUGUCGGAGAUGGUCCUUGAUUAUAGUUGGCAGACAUCAAAGUCUUACGAAAUCCUCAUGUAUGCAGUCGGAUGCUAUCGGGGAGGGACACGGCCCUUCGUCAUAGAUAACGAACAUCAGAAGCUUCCCCCAUCCGUAAUUCUCACAGAGGCUGCAAACUGAGCUGUACGUUAAUCCGCCAUAGCAUAUCACUUCUGAGUGGACUUGAGAACAACCAGUGAACUCACCGUUCACGUAGAACCGUGCGCAC